AUUGAACGCUGGCGGCAGGCCUAACACAUGCAAGUCGAGCGGAUGAAGGGAGCUUGCUCCUGGAUUCAGCGGCGGACGGGUGAGUAAUGCCUAGGAAUCUGCCUGGUAGUGGGGGAUAACGUCCGGAAACGGGCGCUAAUACCGCUUACGUCCUGAGGGAGAAAGUGGGGGAUCUUCGGACCUCACGCUAUCAGAUGAGCCUAGGUCGGAUUAGCUAGUUGGUGGGGUAAAGGCCUACCAAGGCGACGAUCCGUAACUGGUCUGAGAGGAUGAUCAGUCACACUGGAACUGAGACACGGUCCAGACCCCUACGGGAGGCAGCAGUGGGGAAUAUUGGACAAUGGGCGAAAGCCUGAUCCAGCCAUGCCGCGUGUGUGAAGAAGGUCUUCGGAUUGUAAAGCACUUUAAGUUGGGAGGAAGGGCAGUAAGUUAAUACCUUGCUGUUUUGACGUUACCAACAGAAUAAGCACCGGCUAACUUCGUG
rnacentral:rRNA from 1 species